CUGUCACAGCUUAGAAACAGAAGCGGCAGGAGAUAACGAAGUCAAGUGAAAAAAAAAAAUCGAACAAGUUAGUCUUCCUAGCGGUGAACACUCGCCCGCGCGCGCCAUAUAGGCAUUGUCACUAGACUGUUUAGUACUGUGGAGGGAAAGUGGAAUAUUUCGCUGGAAAAUAUUGAUUAAAUACGAAAGGGCGGAUAUUUAUUGGUGGGUCCCUAGCCUGGGAUGGCAGCCACCAGCCUGAGGGAACACGGAUGGCAGCCACCAGCCUGAGGGAACACGGGUGACAGCCACCAGCCUGAGGGAACACGGGUGGCAGCCACCAGCCUGAGGGAACACGGGUGGCAGCCACCAGCCUGAGGGAACACGGGUGGCAGCCACCAGCCUGAGGGAACACGGAUGGCAGCCACCAGCGAGACACCUCGGUGUCUUCAUACUUCGCCACACGGUAAGUGGAUUUCAGACCUCAUCGAGGACCGAGACGCCCAGGUAUGUUCUUUUGUUACAAGGUGAGCUACAACAGCACUAGUUCCUGACAGGUAACUCCCAAUUCUUUUCUCUCACAGGAGUUACACUUGAG